CACGUAAGGGGCGAGCGUUGUUCGGAAUUAUUGGGCGUAAAGGGCACGCAGGCGGUUAUACAAGUCCGAUGUGAAAUCUCCGGGCUCAACUCGGGAAACGCGUUGGAAACUGUAUGACUAGAGUAUUAGAGGGGGAGUCGGAAUUCCUAGUGUAGGGGUGAAAUCUGUUGAUAUUAGGAAGAACACCGGUGGCGAAGGCGGACUCCUGGCUGGAUACUGACGCUGAGGUGCGAAAGCAUAGGGAGCAAACAGG
rnacentral:rRNA from 1 species